UACGUAGGUGGCAAGCGUUGUCCGGAAUUAUUGGGCGUAAAGCGCGCGUAGGCGGUCCUUUAAGUCUGAUGUGAAAGCCCACGGCUCAACCGUGGAAGGUCAUUGGAAACUGGGGGACUUGAGUGCAGGAGAGAAGAGUGGAAUUCCACGUGUAGCGGUGAAAUGCGUAGAUAUCUGGAGGAACACCGGUGGCGAAGGCGGCAUCCUGGGCCAACACUGACGCUGAGUGAGCGAAAGCCAGGGGAGCAAACGGG
rnacentral:rRNA from 1 species